rnacentral:lncRNA from 1 species
UUUGAUCUUCGUAAUGUUUAGGGGUUGCGCUGAUGCUGACUGUCGCUGUGUUUCACACCUGUGUAUUAAUUACUUUACGUACUACUCCAACUGCCACUACCAUAUUACUACUUCUUCUAGUAUCACGUCUGUACUGAUUUACUCAUUCCCAAGCUUUACUCAACUUGUUUCACUUCUACUAUCCUAUACGUAUUCACAUUGAUACAUAAAAACAAGAACAAAAUUAUUGGAUUUAUAACAAUUCAUGAACAGACAGAAUCAUAACUUGCUCUCUUUGAACUCAAUUGUUUACAAUCAAAGAACGAUUUCUUAUUCCCACGUUCUGGUAACACAAGCAUUUUGCUUCUUUUUUUUCCCAUCGCGUACCAACAAUGACAAGCCGUAUACGUAUAAAUACUCUGACUUGAAUGGUAUACGUAAUAGGUAUGUGUCUGUCUAUAAGUGUCGUGUAUUUGUGUAUGCUGGACAUAAGUAUGUGAUACCUUCUAAUUUUUUCCGUGAACUUGGUCCCAUGUGAUGAUAAUACGCCUGGACCACGAUCUUCAAACUUCUGACAUCACAUAAUACAAUAACUACGGAGUCUUGUUAAACUCUCCGAUAUCGUAUGAUAAGGCGAUAGAUCAGAAAAGAACGCCUGAAACGUAUAUUCGUUUUCUUUUUUGUCUGCAGCCCCGAUUUUUCCCCCCUACGAGGAAGUAUUUCAACAGUUUUUUUACAAUAAUACAGAACGGCUGGUGCUUUAUUGUGUUUCCAUGUAUACCAUAUAUUUACCACAUAUCUACACACGCAAUGUAGACUCGCUGCAUAAAUAUCUGCCAGACGAUACUUCGACGAGGCCCAUUUGGAUUGGCAACCCUGGGGCCACUGGCAGCGCCCCCAGGAUUGCCAAUCCAAACGGGCCUAGGUCGAAGUGUCAUCUGAAAAGUAUUUCCGUAACGGGUGUACACCCAGUAAUCUAUCACAGGGGGUCGAUUAUGUAAUUUCAAUUUUUACAUCUCCAAUCAUCUAAGCAUUCUGAUUGGUUUGCAAAGUUUAGUCAACCAAUCGGAAUGCAUGGAUGGUGAGAAAUGUGAAAAGUGAAAUUACAUAAUCGAACCCCAGGUUCGCCACCGUAAGAAUAUUACACCUGUGACAUCUAAUAUUGUUACAAGUUUUAACAAUUUUCUAUAGUUAUGUUAUAACUUCGGAAUAACUAAUUAGCCGUACAACUGUUUCGUCUACAGUUUGCCAAAUACACACACACUCACAUAAACACAAAUACACCGCAUAGACAGGAUACCUCUGCAUGAUCUUUCUCUACAACAGAAAAACAAACAAACAAAAAAACAUACAAACACUUCCUCGAAUACAAUUACAAUCAUUCUUCAAUAUUCUCAAUUUUUAUUCAAUCGAAUUUUUCAAGCAAAUUGUUACAUAACCUGCUAUUCAUAAUUUAUUAGAUAUAAAUCUUUUUACAUCGUACUUUUUAUACUAUCUUAUAUAAACCGAAUAAUCUCAAGCUGGGAUGAUUUCUGCGCGUGCGCCUUUUGCAUGGCUUGCUUAGUAACAUUUACAUAACAUGGAUUUUUCCGACUGGCGUAAUUGUCCACUACCUUUAUUUCGUUACUGUCAUCUUUAUUUUUAUUAUACUAAUGUAAUUUGUUCUUUAUAUUUGCAUUUCAUUACUUUUUUUAUCCUCUACUUCAAAGCAAACGGAUAUUGUUAUGCUUAUUGUCCAUUCUUGAAAACUGCAUGGCCUGAUAAUCGGAAUAUAGCUUUGAUUAUGUGCAAUAUCCUUUUUGAGGAUUCUGAAUUGUUCGAAAAUGAGUAUUAAUAUUUAAAAAGGUAGAAAAUUUCUAAUUUAUGAUGCAAUUUUGUCAAGACUGUUAGAUUAAAACAAUCAACAUUUUUCUGAGGGCGAACAAUGUCAGUGCCAUUUUCAUUUAUUUUAUCGGUAGUGCAAAUUCUAUACAACUUCGUUUUACAAUUUCUACAACUUUUUUCCUUCCAAACUGUAUGAUUCUGCAGAGACUAUAAUUGAUUAAAUAAAAUAUUUAUACGCCGUCUUUGCGACAGUUUUCAAUUUAUCAGGAUUAAUUGUAACUUAUAUACAGUGAUAAUAAUUUAACGAUGUGAAAAUCUUUGUAUCAUUCGUAUAUAAUGUACCAAAUUUAUACAAACGAGGUUAAUUUAUAGCUAGUUAAAAUUGAUAUUUGUUAAAGCAUGGCAAAUUAUUUGCAUGUUUAGAACACUAAUAAUUAUACUAUUGAUUAUAGUAACACGCACGAAAUAGAAUCUGAUUGUGAGACUAAAUAUUGAAUCUAUGAAGAACUAUAAUCCAAAAUACUUAUAAUCAAUUGCCUAAGCUGCCAUGAUUAAUAUAUGUUAUAUAAAUUUGCAUGCCUUGUUUUUGAGACAAACAAAGAACAGAGAAAAAAGAAUCGAGCACCACGGGUGGAAGCGAUUCACAAAAAUAAUUUUGAUACGCCAAAUACUGUUCAGGCGUCAACAGACAUCGCUGGUCGCAAUUGAUAUGAUAUAAUUUAAGUCCAAACCAAUUAAAGGAAAAAAAAAAAAAUUAAAAAACAAAAAAAACAAACAUGAACAAGAAGAAAUUGAUUUUAUUCAGGUAAACCAAGGUAUAAUAUA